UAACACGUAUCCAACCUGCCGUCUACUCUUGGACAGCCUUCUGAAAGGAAGAUUAAUACAAGAUGGCAUCAUGAGUCCGCAUGUUCAUAUGAUUAAAGGUAUUCCGGUAGACGAUGGGGAUGCGUUCCAUUAGAUAGUAGGCGGGGUAACGGCCCACCUAGUCUUCGAUGGAUAGGGGUUCUGAGAGGAAGGUCCCCCACAUUGGAACUGAGACACGGUCCAAACUCCUACGGGAGGCAGCAGUGAGGAAUAUUGGUCAAUGGGCGAGAGCCUGAACCAGCCAAGUAGCGUGAAGGAUGACUGCCCUAUGGGUUGUAAACUUCUUUUAUAAAGGAAUAAAGUCGGGUAUGGAUACCCGUUUGCAUGUACUUUAUGAAUAAGGAUCGGCUAACUCCGCGCCAGCAGCCGCGGUAAUACGGAGGAUCCGAGCGUUAUCCGGAUUUAUUGGGUUUAAAGGGAGCGUAGAUGGAUGUUUAAGUCAGUUGUGAAAGUUUGCGGCUCAACCGUAAAAUUGCAGUUGAUACUGGAUAUCUUGAGUGCAGUUGAGGCAGGCGGAAUUCGUGGUGUAGCGGUGAAAUGCUUAGAUAUCACGAAGAACUCCGAUUGCGAAGGCAGCCUGCUAAGCUGCAACUGACAUUGAGGCUCGAAAGUGUGGGUAUCAAACAGGAUUAGAUACCCUGGUAGUCCACACGGUAAACGAUGAAUACUCGCUGU
rnacentral:rRNA from 1 species